CUGCAUACUGUCAAAAUGUGACCUUUCUUUUAGCCACUGAAAUAUCUGGUUGCCCUAAGCAAUGAAGAUCAGCCCGUUGGGAAAUUGGACCAGAAACCAUGUUGCCGUGGAAACCACUGUGAACUGCAGAUACAUUGGUGACCACUUUCU